GGUUCAGGUUCGGUCUGGAUACUGUAGGGGUCCUGGUCCUGAUAAGGCCGAACCUGUC
rfam:Synechococcus sp. RS9916 scf_1100013018508 genomic scaffold, whole genome shotgun sequence.